GUGGCUGUCGGGAGCCUGUGGCCUGUGAUAGGUCAGGAAAGGGGGCGUAGUGUGAGGGGGAGGUCCCUGUCUAGCCGCGGUACUCCAGGUCAACCUUCCAAGUCAGCCAACCUGGUAGGGUCUCAGGCUGCGCCCCUCUGGGACCAGGUUGUGUGUGAGCAAUAUGGAGGCUGACCUGUCUGGCUUUAACAUUGACGCGCCCCGCUGGGACCAGAGCACGUUCCUGGGGCGUGUGAAGCACUUUUUCAACAUCACGGACCCUCGCACCAUCUUUGUAUCAGAGCAGGAGCUGGACUGGGCCAAGGAGGAGGUGGAGAAGAGCAGGAGGGGUCUUGUGCCCCCUGGCACUCAGGUGGAGCGGCUGCUGUACGCUAAGAAGCUGUAUGACUCGGCUUUCCACCCUGACACCGGGGAGAAGAUGAACCUCAUCGGGCGGAUGUCCUUCCAGGUCCCCGGCGGCAUGGUUAUCACAGGCUUCAUGAUGCAGUUCUACAGGACAAUGCCUGCGGUAAUCUUCUGGCAGUGGGUGAACCAAUCCUUCAAUGCCUUAGUCAACUACACCAACAGGAAUGCGGCUUCCCCCACAUCAGUCAGGCAAAUGGCUCUCUCCUACUUCACAGCUACUACCACUGCGGUGGCCACAGCAGUGAGCAUGAAUAUGUGGACAAAGCCACAUUUUGUUGGCAAAUGGAGGGUCACCACAUCAGCCCUGGAGAGAGCUUGCACACCCUUCCACUCCGCUUUCCCUUCUCCGCCUCGCUCUCCCAGCAGGGAACUCAUCCAGGGCAUCUGUGUGAAGGACAAGGACCAAAAUGAGCUUGGCUGUUCUCGGAGAGCUGCGGCUGUGGGCAUCACCCAAGUGGUUAUUUCUCGGAUCACUAUGGCAGCUCCUGGCAUGAUCUUGUUACCCGUCGUCAUGGAGCGGCUGGAGAGACUGCAUCUGAUGAAGAAAGUCAGAGUGCUGCACGCUCCGCUGCAGGUCUUGCUGUGCGGCUGCUUCCUCCUCUUCAUGGUGCCAGUGGCUUGUGGGCUCUUCCCUCAGGAAUGGUAUCAGUCAUUUGUUGUCUGAGACACUCUGCUACUGCUCCCUCACUGACCUGCCGAGAAGGAUGGACAGGGAAGUAGAUGUUUCUAAGGACAGGUGCCUAGCCUAAACGCUGGUCUUUUAAUGUGGCAAAUUACCAGUUUCCUAUCUAGAACCAGACCUGCAGGACACCAUCAAGGCCAAGAGUGGAGAACAAGUCCUCUUUGCCUACUUUAAUAAGGGUCUCUAAGUGCUCCGUGCCUGCAAGGACCAAUCCAUACCCUGUG